rnacentral:rRNA from 1 species
UACGUAGGGUGCAAGCGUUAUCCGGAAUUAUUGGGCGUAAAGAGCUCGUAGGCGGUUUGUCGCGUCUGCUGUGAAAACCCGAGGCUCAACCUCGGGCCUGCAGUGGGUACGGGCAGACUAGAGUGCGGUAGGGGAGAUUGGAAUUCCUGGUGUAGCGGUGGAAUGCGCAGAUAUCUGGAGGAACACCGGUGGCGAAGGCGGCAUCCUGGACCGACACUGACACUGAGGAGCGAAAGCCAAGGGAGCAAACGGG